GCGCCUAUGGUGGAAUUGGUAGACACAGCAGGUUUAGGUCCUGCCGCCGAACGGCAUGGGAGUUCGAGUCUCUCUAGGCGCACCA
rnacentral:tRNA from 1 species